GGGCGGUUAGCUCAGCGGCAGAGCAUCGGUCUUACACACCGAGGGCCACAGGUUCGAACCCUGUACCGCCCACCA
rnacentral:tRNA from 1 species